rnacentral:lncRNA from 1 species
UACAGCUGAGAGACAUACUCGGUCCAAGACUAUCAGGUUCUGCAAAGUUCAGUGGGACCAUCAUACUGAAAAGGAAGCUACUUGGGAACGCGAAGAUGAUCUUCGAGAAGACCACCCGCACCUCUUUGCUAGUCAAACUGAAUCUCGAGGACGAGAUUCCUCUUAAGGGGGUUAGGUCUGUAACAUCCCAAAUUUUAAACCCUUUCAUAUGCAUUGCAUCCAUGAGCAUCAAGCCACAAUUGCAUAAUUGAAUUCAAACUUGAAAAGGCUUCAAAAAGAUUUUUAUUUCAUUUCAAACCCUAGGGUUUCACCCAUUUGAGCUUUGGAUCUUAAAACCAAUAGGGUUUAACUAUAAAUGGGGUUUAUUGCAUAAAUAAGCUAUACCAUAAUUUUUGGAUAUUUAUUUGGAGUUGAAAAACUAUUUUAUUUAAAUAGUUAUAUAGCCCUAAAGGCAUUUAUAGGGCAAAUGUAUUUCUAUAUAUUUUAUUUUGAGGGGAAACUAGUCCCCAAAGUUAAAUCAUGAUAAAACAAGAUUUUACAAAUUUUCUAGAAUUUGUUUGGAUCAAUUUGGAGUUAAAAAUCAAAAGAUAUCAAAGAAAUCAGAAAAAGAAAAAGAGAAAAGGCUAAAAGGAAAAAAAAAGGAGAAACGGCGCCCGAGCCAACCCAGCCAGCCCUGCGCCGCGCGCGCGCCCGCCUUGAGACGCUGACAGGCGGGCGUCUUCCCCGGACGGCAAGCGCCGCGCGUCACGCCGUGACUGCUGCGAGCGCCCUCACCGGGAUCCGCGUUCCCGUGCCCCCUGA